GACCCACCGCUAAUAACAUCCUCUCUCGGGAAAAACUGAGAGCCUUUCCCCUAAGGUCAGGAGCACGACAAGGAUGUCCACUCCCAUUACUACUCACUUGGCUCGGCUGGAAGUCCUAGCCUCAGCGGUCAAUGAAAGAAAUAAAAGGCAUCCAAACUGGUUCAACAUUAAUUGUCAAUGGAAAAUGAACCAGAUGACCUUCUAGGUGUGAUGCAAGCUCUAACAAAUGAAAUCUUCAUGACUUAAAGAUUAACUGAUGUCAAAAUUUAGAUAUAAAAGUUGAACUGCAAUUAUUUCCAACAGAAUCUGCAAACCCCACAGUUAGAAGCUAGAGAAGAAAUGUGUGGGGGCAAAACAUCUAAUGAGUAUAGCCCUUGAAACGAGGAACUAGAGGCCAUGUGCUACAGGGUGGAGGUGGUUUUAGGGAUCUACGGAUCUUUCCUAAGGAGGAGCCAACUCCUAUUAAGUCAUGAGGCCCAGCCAGCGGUUGACGGAGGCACAGGAGCACAUAUAUUUUAGCCAAAAGAAGAGACGACCGCGAUGCGUCUAUGACCGAGCAGUAAAUUCGGAUGGAGAGGUCCUCAUUGGUUGAGCUGGCUGUGUGUGUGCCACUGAAGCACUUCGUGAAUUAUCUUCUGAUUUCCCUCAAUAGGAUCAGGCCUUUCCACGCUGCCGACAGUAGAACCCUCUGGAUAGCAGAGGGGAAGCGCUGCUAAUUUCGAUGAAGCCGACCUGAGGCUGUGACCCUGCUACCUGAGCACCCUGCGGACUGUCACGGAGCUUCCACAUCUUCAUGCCUCUCAUCUGUAGUGUCCCCUCUGUCUGUGAGCCUUCUUCUCUUCCGUUGAUGUCAUUUGCAGCGAAGGAUGAAGAGUGAAAGCAGCCUCUCCAGCUGCAGUUGGUUUUCGCCUCUGAAGAGACCAAUACACCAUUAUCUGGCUGCACAAGGAGUGCUGCAGCAGUCCCACCGUCACACGUGACCCCUGCAGG